rnacentral:rRNA from 1 species
GCAGUCUGAAACUCGAGUGCAUGAAGCUGGAAUCGCUAGUAAUCGCAAAUCAGAAUGUUGCGGUGAAUACGUUCCCGGGUCUUGUACACACCGCCCGUCACACCAUGGGAGUUGGAAAUGCCCGAAGUCAGUGACCCAACCUAAGGGGAGGGGAGCUGCCGAAGGCAGGUUCGAUGACUGGGGGUGAAGUCGUAACAAGGUAGC